AGUGAACGCUGGCGGUAGGCCUAACACAUGCAAGUCGAACGGCAGCACAGUAAGAGCUUGCUCUUACGGGUGGCGAGUGGCGGACGGGUGAGGAAUACAUCGGAAUCUACUUUUUCGUGGGGGAUAACGUAGGGAAACUUACGCUAAUACCGCAUACGACCUACGGGUGAAAGCAGGGGAUCUUCGGACCUUGCGCGAUUGAAUGAGCCGAUGUCGGAUUAGCUAGUUGGCGGGGUAAGGGCCCACCAAGGCGACGAUCCGUAGCUGGUCUGAGAGGAUGAUCAGCCACACUGGAACUGAGACACGGUCCAGACUCCUACGGGAGGCAGCAGUGGGGAAUAUUGGACAACGGGCGCAAGCCUGAUCCAGCCAUACCGCGUGGGUGAAGAAGGCCUUCGGGUUGUAAAGCCCAUUUGUUGGGAAAGAAAAGCAGCAGGUUAAUACCCCGCUGUUCUGACGGUACCCAAAGAAUAAGCACCGGCUAACUUCGUG
rnacentral:rRNA from 1 species